GAUUCCAGCUCCAAUAGCGUAUAUUAAAGUUGUUGCAGUUAAAAAGCUCGUAGUUGAACUUCAGACCUGACCGGGCGGUCCGCCUAACGGUGUGUACUGUCUGGCCGGGCCUUACCUCUUGGUGAGCCGGCAUGCCCUUCACUGGGUGUGUCGGGGAACCAGGACCUUUACCUUGAGAAAAUUAGAGUGUUUAAAGCAGGCUUAC
rnacentral:rRNA from 1 species